rnacentral:rRNA from 1 species
UCAAGCGAACAAGGGCGCAGGGCGAAUGCCUUGGCACUGGGAGCCGAUGAAAGACGUGAUAAGCUGCGAUAAGCUUCGGGGAGCUGCAAAUAAGCAUUGAUCCGGAGAUUUCUGAAUGAGGAAACUCACCUGGGUUCAUACUCAGGUACGUUGUACUGAAAUUCAAAAUAGGUACAUCGAGGGAACCGCCUGAACUGAAACAUCUAAGUAGGGCGAGGAAGAGACAUCAAACGAGAUUCCGUAAGUAGUGGCGAGCGAACGCGGAAGAGGGCAAACCGGGAGUAGAAAUACUUCCGGGGUACGGAGCGCAUUUAAGACUUAAGUUGCUAACCGAACGGCAUGGGAAGGCCGGUCAGAGAGUGUGAGAACCACGUAGGUGAAAGCGACGAGAGCUGAGCGAUUUCCAGAGUACGGCCAGACACGUGAAACCUGGUCGGAAGAUGGGGGGACCACCCUCCAACCCUAAAUACUACCCAGUGACCGAUAGCGUAUAGUACUGUGAAGGAAAGGUGAAAAGCACCCCGGGAGGGGAGUGAAAAAGAACCUGAAACCCUGUGCCUACAAGCACCUAGAGCACGUCAAAGUGUGAUAGGGUACUUUUUGUAGAACGGUCCGGCGAGCGAUUGUAUGCAGCAAGGUUAAGGACUUAAGGUCUGGAGCCGAAGCGAAAGCGAGUUUGAAAAGGGCGUUAAGUUGCAUAUAAUGGGCCCGAAACCGGGUGACCUACCCAUGGUCAGGUUGAAGUGGAAGUAAAAUUCCAUGGAGGACCGAACCGACCUCCGUUGAAAAGGCGGCGGAUGAACUGUGGGUAGCGGAGAAAUUCCAAUCGAACCCGGAGAUAGCUGGUUCUCCCCGAAAUAGUUUUAGGACUAGCCUCAAGUUAGAUACCUGGAGGUAAAGCACUGAAUAGCCUAGCGGCCGAGAGGUUAGCGAAGCUUAUCAAACUCAGAAUGCCAGAGUAUUGAUGCUUGGGAGUCAGACAGUGUCAGAUAAAUGUCAUUGUCAAAAGGGAAACAGCCCAGAUCUACAGCUAAGGUCCCAAAGUCAGGUUAAGUGGAAAACGAUGUGAAGAUACGCAGACAACCAGGAUGUUGGCUCAGAAGCAGCCACUCAUUCAAAGAGUGCGUAAUAGCUCACUGGUCGAGCGUCUUUGCGCGGAGAAUUUAACGGGGCUAAACCUGACACCGAAGCUUAGGCAAUCCAGUAAUGGAUUGGGUAGGGGAGCGUUGUAUACGCGGAGAAACAGUAGCGUAAGCGGCUGUGGAGUGUAUAGAAGUGAGAAUGCCGGAAUGAGUAGCGCGAAUGCAGUGAGAAUCUGCAUGGCCGAAAGCCUCAGGUUUUUGGAGGAAGGUUCGUCCGCUCCAAGUUAGUCGGGAGCUAAGGUGAGGCCGGAAGGCGUAGCCGAUGCACAGACGGUAGAGAUUCCGUCACCACCAAAAGAGUUAAGCACAGGGACACAUUUGAAGUCUCAGAGCCGGGUGUUGGUUCCGGUAGAGAUCGAGGGAAGUUAGUACCGAAGUCUGGGAUGGAAGAUGGCGAGAAAAGCUGUGUGUAUUUCUGAGGUGCCCGUACCGCAAACCGACACAGGUAGGUAGGAAGAAGAUUCUAAGGCCAACGGGAGAAGGGUUGUUAAGGAACUCGGCAAAUUGACCCCGUAACUUCGGGAGAAGGGGUGCUCCAGAGAUGGAGCCGCAGAGAAUCGGCCCAAGCAACUGUUUACCAAAAACACAGGUUUGUGCUAAAUCGAAAGAUGACGUAUACGAGCUGACGCCUGCCCGGUGCUGGAAGGUUAAGAGGAGAUGUGCAAGCAUUGAAUCGAAGCCCCAGUGAACGGCGGCCGUAACUAUAACGGUCCUAAGGUAGCGAAAUUCCUUGUCAGGUAAGUUCUGACCCGCAUGAAAGGCGUAAUGAUUUGGGCACUGUCUCAACAGCCCGCCCGGCGAAAUUGUAG